UUAUGUCACAUUUUGUGGAUGAGUCAUCAGUUUAUAGGAUCAAGUCACUUAAACUCUCUGAGCCUCAGUUUCUUUUUUUUUCACAAGGUAAAUUGGGGUUAAGUGACUUGCCCAGGGUCACACAGCUCGUAAAGAGCCUCAGUUGCUUUACUUGUCAAAUGGGAGUCAUAAUGCUUGCUAUGUCUCCAGGUUGCUGUGAGGAGAAGGGGCUUUGUGAAUCUCAACUUGCCACAGAACUUGUGGUGGUGGUGGUGGUUGUCACUAUUGUAAUCAUUCCUAAUAUUCCCCAAGACCCAUUCCUUGACCCUUCGUUAUUCUAACUACAAAACUCCCUUGGAAUGCUCUCCCAAAAGCAGAGCUUCAAUUUCCUCUCUGUGCUGAAGAUUCCAAAAGUGUAAUCUGUUUUCACAGGAGUGCCAACUCUACAUCACAAAGUCCCUCUGUCCAUUUUCACUGGAUCAUGUUACUGCUGCUUGAAACAAUAUUCUCAGUUUGAACUCUUCCUCAUUCCUUCCCCAUCCAUGGUUUUCCCUGACUAUCAUUUAUAUCAUUAUUUUCCCCUUCACCUAGCUUCCACCCUGGAAGUCAUCUCUGAUUCAUCCAUCUGCUUCCCCUCUAUCCAAUCAGUCACAUGAAUUCUUCUGAAGAAUUACAUCUAAAACCCUACCCUUCUUCAUUGCCACUAGCACCCUACUGUAGUCUGGAUUCUCAUAGUCUCACUCUUAGAUUGCUGCAUCAACUUCUAAACUAGCCUUUUCUGAUUCUAGACUUUCCUCCUUCCAACUCAUUUGACAUACACUCAAAAUAUUUCAAUACUUAACAAGCAUUUUGUAAACAUUUAUGAUGUGCUGCAAACACUAUUCUAAGUGACGGACAUAGAAAGGAAAAGUGAAAAUAAUCCUUACCCUCAAGGAGUUUACCUGAUAACAGGAGAUCCAUAUAUACAUAAAGUUACAUAGAAAAUAUAUACAGAAUUUAUGGAAGGUAAUCUAAGAGGGCAAGGCAUUAGCCAUUGGAGAGGGCAGGAAAGGCCUCCAAUGGAAGGAGGCUGAGCCCUGAAAAAUGCAAGCAUUAUAAGAGGCAGAGGUGAGGAAGGAUAGCACUUCAGGUGUGUGGAGGCUUCCCUCAACCCCCAGUGCAUAGGUACAGAGGAAGAAAAUAUUUAUUUACAAUUUCCAUCUUAGUGAUAAAGAAAGAAACAUUUAGAGCUGUGCUGCUACCUUUUUUUUCCCCAAGUGACUUUAGGGCAUAAUUUAUUUUUGAGUGACUCAAAUCAGAAAAGAUGAAAGUUUUUCCACCAUGUACUUCACUAAUGAGGAAACUCAUAUGCAUGAAACAAGCAUCCUUUUCAGCCUUUCUAAUGCUAGUAUCUUUUCUCCUUGACACUUGUCUGUUCAAAGAUGAUCCAUAGUGAAAUAUCCUCGUGAUCUCAUAAAUGUGAAUACUCCUUCCACCAUGGCAGAUCUCAACCUAUCAACGGCUUCUUAACCUGGCCAUGAAAGCCAGCCUGAGGCCUUUCACACUGAACUUCACCAUCACCAGCCUCCACUAUUCGGCAGAUGUGGGACGUCAGGACUCACACAAGUUCAAUAUCACAGACGCCAUUAUGCAGCAUCUGCUUGGCCACUUGUUCAAAAACAGCAGCAUUGGCUCCCUGUACUUUGGAUGCAAGGUUCUUGAACUCAGAUCUAUGAAGAAAAAGGAUCACAGACAGGUGUGAGUGCCCUCUGCACCUACCACCAGUUCCCCAGCAGCAUUGUUCUGGAUGCCAAGCAGGUUUUCCAUGAGCUGAGCAACCAGAGUCAUGGCCUCCAGAAAUUGGGCCUCUGCUACCUGGACAAGGACAGUAUUUACCUCAAUGUUCCAGGUCCAGCCACAACAGUUGCAUCUAAGCCUGCCCUGGGGCCCAUAUGUAACCCAAAAGCUUUAAGACAGAACCAAUACAUUGGAUGACAGAGUUGGAAUCCCAAAGUAUAGGCUAGAAUGUUGGUGUCAAAUCUAAUAAGGUGAAACCUAAUAGGAAUAAUAAAACUUUAUAUCUGGACUCUAAAAACCAACUUCAUGAGUUCAAGAUGGAGGAGCUGUGCUAGACUUCUCUGAAAAAAAAAUUGGGAAUUUUAAUGGACUACCAGCUCAACAAGGUUCAACAAUGUUGUAUGAUAAAUAAAAAAGUUAAGAAAAAUCUUAGGCUGUGCUGAGAAAGAUAACAUAUUCAACUAUCUCCAGGUGGUUAAAGGGCUGUCACAGGGAAAAGAAAAGGGCCUGGACUUGUCCUGCUUGGUGUCCCAGAGGGCUGAACUAGUAACAAUGAGUAAAGUUGCAAAGAAGCAAAUUUAUGCUUGACGUCAAGAAAACUUUCCUAUUGAGUGGUGGUAUACCAAACUGAGAUGGUCUACUUCAGGAAGUAAAAGGUUACCCUUCCCUGAAGAACUUCAAAUAAAUAACUACUAGAUCACCACUUGUUGGGGACAUUGUAGAGGGGAUUCUUGGUCAGUUAUGGGUUGGACCAGGUCAUCCCUGAGGUGCUGCAUUCUGUCAAUCCUUAUUCUUGGUGUGUUGAAUUUCUCUUCUAAGCCAGAAGACUGGGGAGAGCAGUCUGGUGACAAGCCAGGGCAACCUGAAGGUUUGUUCUGCUCUAUGUUUAGAUACAACAGAGUAGAUCAAGGCUAUGUCCU